rnacentral:rRNA from 2 species
GGACUACAAGGGUAUCUAAUCCUGUUUGCUCCCCACGCUUUCGUGCCUGAGCGUCAGUGUUAGCCCAGGGGGCUGCCUUCGCCAUCGGUGUUCCUCCACAUCUCUACGCAUUUCACUGCUACACGUGGAAUUCCACCCCCCUCUGCCACACUCGAGCCCGUUAGUUUCCAAUGCAGUUCCCAGGUUGAGCCCGGGGCUUUCACAUCAGACUUUGCGGACCGCCUGCGCACGCUUUACGCCCAGUAAUUCCGAUUAACGCUCGCACCCUACGUAUUACCGCGGCUGCUGGCAC